ACUUCGCUAGUUGCAUUAUAACAUGAUGAUUUAUAUAUCUAUAGAUGUUUUUGGACUAACAUUAUUGCAGUGCCUCCUUGGACCUAUUGGUCAAGCUCUUCCCUUGGGUAGCCGUACCCACUGAGAACUAUUGAAUUGGUUCUCACCCCACGUUAUUUUGGGGUGUUACAGGUUCGAAUAUGAGCGGCGCGUGUCACGCCCCGGAUUACACGUUUUCCGGGCACGCCGACAAAUCCGCCGUAUACAAAGAAAUUUCUCCUGUAUACGAAGCGAUAGCUUUACCUGUAAAUCAUACAAUACUACAAACAGUAGUAUAGAGCUGCUAGAAGAACCAGAAAUAAAACAAACCGAGUUUCAUAUACAUACGCCAAAAUCCAAGAUAUAAAACUACUCACACUGGCGAGUUAAAUAUGUAUGUACAUGAACUCCAACAAAAAUAACUACCUGCUGUAGGGGCACCUCUAGCUCGGCUCGUCGGGUAGGGCUCUAACUCGCGACGCCCUUGCCUCGAUCCUGAUCAGCAACAGCAGCAGCCGAAGACGAAGGCUCUGCAAAAACGGGGUAACAACAGGGCGUGAGAGCUACUGUAAAACAAGUAGUCCUCAAUGGGUGCCGCCCUCAACAUCAUCGGUCCACCCACUAAGUCUACAGAAGGGAGCAAAGGUAAUAAUAAAUGCCGAAAUAAAAUCUAUAGCUACCAUUUAUUACUCUAUCAUGCUCUAAGCUAACCUACUGUAGAAAUAUCAAUUCUGACCUAAUCUCUUUAGGGACUGUAAACAUACCCGUCCCAGGGACUGUGAACACAAUCGUCCCGCCCAGUUGAGACUAUCCAGCUACCUCCACACUAACCAGUCCGUGGAGAGCAAGUCUAACCGGCAUGCAUGACACCAACGCAAAAGCACAGCGCCCGCCUCCGGAGUGGCACUCGGGGGAGCUACCCAACCGAGUAUGCAGCGUAUCUCUGUCAAGCUCAAUCAGGCUCUCUCAAGCCAAAGUCCAAGUAACCAACACUAACUGGUCAAACAACUCACAGUCACGUGCCCUCGGAACAAUCCGACGCCAAAAAGGCGAUAGGGGUCCACCAUCAACCCCGACGACACCCAACAGUCCGGAACAGUCUGAACGCUACUGUAAAAAUACACUCAGCAUCCUAGCACGAGCGUAACAGAAAACUAAACUGCCUGGGGUAUCCGUCGCCUCGAUACUGCGAUGAUACAAAAUUAUAACGGCUCCUAGAGCUAAAUUAGGUAGUUUAGACAGGUGAUAGGUCCAAAACGCUGGUUUUCUUCUAAGUCAAAUUCCAAGUCCAACAUGUAUAUUUAUGGUUUGCCAUUCAUAUCCUCAAUGUUGAUUUCAUUCAUGAUACAAUCAACAAAAUGAACUAUAAUAUGAUUUACAAAAUUGAAAAUCAUACAUGUCGACUAAUACUGUGCUUAGGAAUAAACCGAUGUAACCCACCUCAAAAGCUAAACCCUGGCAGUGAAGGAGGUCACCGGAGUCCCUACCAAGCUCGGUGCAACCCAACGAACCAGCGAUAACAACACUCCACGGAUCUAGACAUAGAAACCCAUAAUAAGCAUCAAUUCUGCCCAAAACAACAGCAGCAGAGUGGAACAGGGUUUUGACCAAGCUAACCUUCACCAAAAUCGACAAUCUUGGGCUUCAUGGAUUUCUCUCGAAGUCCUGAAUCCAACGAACCAAGUCACGCUGCAAUCCGACGCUCCUAUGUCGCGUACGAGCCGAAACGCCAACGGUCGACGCAGAAAAUCUGUAAAAUAGCACCCUUGAGCUCGGAAGUGAUGAAGACUUGCUAUGGUUGGAGAAAUUGAUGAACAUCUCACCUCAACAGGGACUCUAGCACUGGCGCGACAUCAAAAACGGUGAAAACGCACCCUCAUCCGGCCUCCUCGCGAUGCUACAGCAACAAACGCGCACUCAAACGGCUCCGCGGCACGACGUCGGCGACAAAAUACUCCACCCGAGCUCCUCCACGAUUGGUCGAGUACAAGGAGAACAGAGAAAGAGUGCAAACAUCCUCUCCUCUCUGUCCUCUCAAUCCUAUAUAGGGGAGAGAGAUGGUGAUACAACCAAGGCAAGAUAAUUACCAAAUUACCCCCUACCUACCCUGGUGUACUGGUACACGGGUCCGUGUACCGGUACUAGAUGCCAACCCGAGAGCAGUCUGCGCGCAGCCUGUGCAGUGUACCGGUACACCGUGAUGGCUGUACCGGUACAGCAAGCAGAAAAUAGCUAUUUGUAGAUUUUCUUGCUAAAUGCUGCUCUCGUGUCACACAGAGUCCGUUUUGUGUCUAUUUCUCGCCAACGCGACUCAGAUUUGUCCCGACACUCUCUAGAACUGUCGACAAUCCUUUACCGCCAAACACCAGGGAUCUCACACUCUCCCCUACUACAAAAAGUUUCGUCCGCGAAACUUAAGCAUAUCUCAGCUCAGGGCAUCGAACAGGUAGGGAUAGGACUCCCUUAUCACUAUCUCAGGCUCCCAAGUCGCCUCCCGCUCAUCGUGAUUACUCCACUACACCUUCACAUACGGGAUAACCCGGUUGCGCAAUUCUUUCGUCUCCUAAGCAAGAAUCCGCAACGGUCGCUCCUUGUAACUCAAAUCCUCGCCAAUCUCGAGUGUAGUGAAGUCAAUCACGUGAGAAGGAUUGAAAACAUAUCUCCUCAAUGCCGAGACGUGGAAGACAUCGUGAAUGCCAGCUAGUUGCGCGGGUAGAGCGAUCUUGUAAGCUACUGGUGCCACUCGCUCCAAUACCUCAAAAGGGCCAACGAAACGUGGACUGAGCUUUCCACGUACUCCAAAUCGGCGAAUCCCUCUGGACGACGAGACUUUGAGGAAUACAUGAUCUCCAACCUGAAACUCUAAGUCUCGUCUCCUGGUAUUGGCGUAACUCCUCUGGCGGCUCUAGGCUGUCAAAAGGUGUCGUCGAACUACUCUCACCUUUUCCUCAGCUUCUAGCAAAAUCUCAGGCCGAAGCGUCUUCCUUUCACCCACAUCACUCCAACACAAAGGGGAUCGACAUCUGCGUCCAUACAAUGCCUCAAACGGAGCCAUCUUUAUGCUCGCUUGAUAGCUGUUGUUGUACGCAAACUCAGCCAGUCUCAAAUGUCGAUACCACCCUCCUCCAAAAUCCAGAAUGCAUGCUCUCAGCAUGUCCUCAAGAGUCUGAAUGGUCCGCUCGAACUGACCAUCUGACUGUGGGUGAAACGCUGUGCUGAACUGUAACUAUGUACCCGAGGCUGUCUGCAAACUCCUCCAGAAGUGUGACACAAACCUCGGAUCCCUAUCAGAUACGAUCGAAAUCGGCACACCAUGCAGCCUAACAAUCUCAUCCAGAUAUAGCUGUGCAAGUCUCUCUCUGGACCAGGUGGUCUGAACCGGUAAGAAGUGAGCAGACUUGGUCAGUCUGUCUACUAUCAUCCAAAUCGCGUCGUAGCCACCCUGCGCUCUAGGCAAUCCCAUGACGAAAUCCAUCGUGAUCUGCUCCCAUUUUUACUCGGGUACUAGCAGACUCUGAAGCUUGCCAGCAGGUACCUGAUGCUCGGCCUUUACCUAUUGAUAAGUCAGACACUGAGCCACAAAUCUGCCAAUGUCCCUCUUCAUUCCAUUCCAUCAAAACUGGGCCCUCAAGUCCUUAUACAUCUUGGUUCCACCUGGGUGAACCGUAUAAGGGGAACAAUGAGCCUCUCUCAAAAUGUCCUCUCGGAUCCCUGAAUCCGCAGGUACACACAGUCGGUCCCUGUACCGUAGUACUCCCAAACUGUUUAUAGAAAAGCCCUCAGCCUGUCCUUGGUCUAGAUGCUCUCGAAUUCUCAACAAGUACGGAUCUCCACUCUGUUUCUCUCGGAUCCUAUCCAACAGAGUGGGCUGCAAGACCAGAGACAUCAGUCUCGCAAUAGACCCAGGGGACACAAUCUCGAAUAUCAACCGCUGUAGCUCCUCGAGUAACGGCCUCUGCUGUGUGAUCAUCAAACUCAGGCUCUGCACUGCCUUCCUGCUCAACGCAUCUGCCACAACGUUCGCCUUGCCGGGAUGAUACUGAAUACUAAUGUCAUAAUCCUUCAGUAACUCCAACCACCGGCGCUGCCUCAGAUUCAACUCCUUUUAGGUGAACAGAUACUUGAGACUUUUAUGAUCAGUAAAAAUCUCGUAGUGCUUGCCGUACAAGUAAUGCCGCCACAACUUUAACGCAAAGACUACCACGGCAAGCUCCAAGUCAUGCGUAGGGUAAUUCUUCUCAUAAUCCUUUAACUGCCGUGAAGCAUAAGCAAUUACCCUACCAUGCUGCAUCAGCACACAACCCAGUCCACUGUGCGACGCAUCACUAUAGAUCACAAAUCCUUCCCCCAUCACAGGAAGGGCAAGGAUAGGAGCUGACGUUAACCUCUGUCUCAACUCAUCAAAACUCCUCUGACAAUUCUCACUCCAGAUGAAUCUAAUCCCCUUGUGCGUCAAUCGAGUGAGGGGUGUGGAAAGCUUCGCAAAGCCUUCCACAAACCGACGGUAAUAUCCUGCUAGUCUAAGGAAACUCCUCACCUCUGUUACCGUCGUCUGUCUGGGCCAAUCCCGAAUCGCAUCAAUCUUCUUCGGGUCGACUGCUACUCCCUCUACUGAUAUCACGUGGCCCAGAAAGCGACCUCCCGUAAUCAGAACUCGCACUUCUUUAACUUGGCAUACAACUUCUUCUCUCUCAGAAGCUGUAGCAUAGUCCUCAAGUGCUCCUCGUGCUCGACAUCGCUCCGGGAGUAUAUCAAGAUAUCAUCUAUGAAGACUACCACAAAUCUAUCUAAGAACGGCUUGAACACUCUGUUCAUCAAAUCCAUGAAUGCGGCAGGGGCAUUCGUCAAUCCGGAAGGCAUCACCGUAAACUCAUAAUGCCCGUACCGAGUCCGAAAAGCCGUCUUGGGAACAAUCUCGGCCCUCACCCUCAACUGGUGGUAACCUGACUGGAGAUCAAUCUUCGAGAAAACAUAAGAACCUUGCAACUGAUCAAACAGAUCAUCAAUGCGUGGCAAAGGAUACAUGUUCUUGAUGGUCAUUUUAUUCAGCUCCCGGUAAUCUACGCACAGCCUGAGCGAACCAUCCUUCUUCUUUACAAACAACACCGGUGCUCCCUAAGGUGACACACUGGGUCUCACAUACCACUUAUCCAUCAAAUCCUGCAGCUGCGCCUUUAGCUCUCUCAGCUCCGCCGGUGCCAUCCAAUAAGGUACCUUUGAGAUUAGUGCAGUUCCAGGAACUACAUCAAUCACAAACUCAAUCUCUCUCUCCGGCGGCAUCGUCGUCAACUCACGGGAAAACACAUCUAGAAACUCGCGAACUACAGAAAUAUCCUCGAGUCCCAGCGCCGCUGUAGGUACCUCAACAACAGUCGCAAGAAAGGCAACACAUCCUCUACUCAUCAGCUGUCGAGCCCUCGCCGAAGAUAUCCAAGUGGCAAACAGUGUACUCCUGCAGCCUCUAAAAGUAAACUCCUCCUGGCCUGGCUCGUGGAACGUCACUGUCCUCACUCCACAAUCGAUAGUAGCAUAGUAGCGCGCCAGCCAAUCCAUACCGAGCACAACGUCGAAGUCCUGCAGCUGCCCUAACACCAACAGGUCUGCGGGCAUGAUCCACGAGUCUAACUGCACCGGACACGACCAACAACACUUUGCAACCUGUAAAACAUGGUCCGGGAUCUGCAUCUCUCAUGCCUGUGAUAAUACUCCUAACUCUAGACCAUGCAACAAUACAAAUGCUCGACUAACAAAAGAAUGCGAGGCACCGGUAUAAAAAAAAGUACGAGCUCUAAUACCAGAAAUCAAAGUGAUACCUGCCACCACUCAGUGCUCUGCAAAGAGUCCUCCACCUGGGCUGCAUAGACCCUGCCGCUUCGAGCCUACUGUCGCCGCUCGCUCUGACGCGGCAUAGACGAUCUGUCUUCCUGGGGGAAACUCGGAGCUGCUCCAAAAGAAGGCUGAGAUGCCGGCUGCGCUGAUACAGUGGAUGGUGCUGGUGCUGCACGGGGACAAGCUGACCUCAUAUGUCCGGGCUGACCGCAACCAUAACACCUGCCCUCUCUCUGCUCGCACUGCCAUGGCCAGUGUGGUCCCCCGCAGAUCAUACACUGCGGUAUCCUCUGAGUCUGUCCCUGCUGACGGGAUCCCUUGGAACACUGACGUCCCGAAAGGCCACGACCCAAAGAGCGUGAUCGGGGAGGCCUUGGCGGACGCCUGCUGCUCGACUGUCUAGCAUCAUCUGAAAAUGGGCGCUUCCUGUCCUGACUCUACCCCACGGCCUGAGUCCUCUCAUGCAGUGACACCUCACCUCUCUCCACCCACAAGACCUGCUCUAUUGACGCAUCCAGAGUCCUCGACCUCUGCGUCCGCGCCAACCUGAAAAUGUCGGGUCUCAGCCCCUGCUCAAAUAGAUAGACCCUGUGUGCCUCGUCUCUGGCCACAAAUGGCACACAGUUUAGGAGUCGAGUAAACUCCCGAAUGUACUCCUGCACUGGACGAUCCCCCUGCUGAAUCCUCUUCAAAUCCUCCUCGAGCUUCCAUUUCACACUGUUGGGAAAGAACAUCCCAAACAGCAUUCCACAGAACUCAUCCCAUCUUAGCUGCAAUGCUACCAGUCCUUGUUCUCUCCCUACUCUCCUCCACCAGGCGUGGACAUCACCUGCCAAGCAAUGGACUCCCAAAGACACCUGCUCCCCCUCAGGAAUGAACAGAUCCUCAAAUAACUUCUCCAUCGCACUGACCCAUCCUUCAACAACCUAGGCCUCAGUGCAACUGCCAUCGAAAAUCGGUGGAUCAAAACAGCGAAAACGAGCCAACCUCUCCGUCCACCGCUCCCGCUCGGCCUCUGUCAACUAUACUGGCCCCCUAGCAGGCGCCACUGGCUCUACUGGAACUGCUGCUGGCGGAGGGACUGCUGCAGCUGGUGCUGUCACUGGAGUAGUCAGAGGUGGAACAGACGACUCUGGUGCCCUCGGUGCUGAACUCUGCGGCGAGGCUAACCUCUCGCACAUCCUCUCCAACAACUCCCCCUGCCGCCUCGUCACCUCUGUCAGGGCGGCUAUCUGUGCACUCAAAUCCGGGGAUGCACUCGUCUCUGGUCGAACACUCUGCUCCUGCUGGGCACUCGGCUCAGCAUGCUCAGGCAUCUCGGAAGGCCCCGCACGAUCCUGCGACAACUGGGCACGCUCCCGUAACGACGGUCGACCUUGGCGACGAUACAUAGCUGAAAGGAACAGAUCGGGGUCAGAUGAAAUACAAACACUCUCGACCCAAUUAACGAAAGUCUGGAAGGCGGUCCCUGUUUUCCUCUAAAAUUAUGUUGUCUGCAGCGAACAUAAUUUCUCAAGCCAAAACAGGCACUCCUUCAAACACUCACCCCACUCUAGGAGGAGUUAGAACAAUUAAUCAUUGACUUUCGUAAUAAAUUACGCCUCUCGUGUCUUGCCUUUCUAAGGUUUGCCAAACUUAGAUUUUCUAGGUCCCAACGACCUAAUGCUAAGCUCUGAUACCAACUUAAUCUGUCACGCCCCGGAUUACACGUUCCCCGGGCACGUCGACAAAUCCGCCGUAUACAAAGAAAUUUCCCCUAUAUACGAAGCGAUAGCUGUACCUGUAAAUCAUACAAUACUACAAACAGUAGUAUAGAGCUGCUAGAAGAACGAGAAAUAAAACAAACCGAGUUUCAUAUACAUACGCCAAAAUCCAAGAUACAAAACUACUCACACUGGCCAGUUAAAUAUGUAUGUACAUGAACUCCAACAAAAACAACUACCUGCUGUAGGGUCACCUCUAGCUCGGCUCGUCGGGUAGGGCUCUAACUCGCGACGCCCUUGCCUCGAUCCUGAUCAGCAACAGCAGCAGCCGAAGACGAAGGCUCUGCAAAAACGGGGUAACAACAGGGCGUGAGAGCUACUGUAAAACAAGUAGUCCUCAGUGGGUGCCGCCCUCAACAUCAUCAGUCCACCCACUAAGUCUACAGAAGGGAGCAAAGGUAACAAUAAAUGCCGAAAUAAAAUCUACAGCUACCAUUUAUUACUCUAUCAUGCUCUAAGCUAACCUACUGUAGAAAUAUCAAUUCUGACCCAAUCUCUUUAGGGACUGUAAACAUACACGUCCCAGGGACUGUGAACACACCCGUCCCGCCCAGUUGAGACUAUGCAGCUACCUCUACACUAACCAGUCCGUGGAGAGCAAGUCUAACAGGCAUGCACGACACCAACGCAAAAGCACAGCGUCCGCCUCCGGAGUGGCACUCGGGGGAGCUACCUAACCGAGUAUGCAGCGUAUCUCUGUCGAGCUCAAUCAGAUUCUCUCAAGCCAAAGUCCAAGUAACCAACACUAACUGGUCAAACAACUCACAGUCACGUGCCCUCGGAACAAUCCGACGCCAAAAAGGCGAUAGGGGUCCACCAUCAACCCCGGCGGCACCCAACAGUCCGGAACAGUCUGAACGCUAUUGUAAAAAUACACUCAGCAUCUCAGCACGAGCGUAACAGAAAACUAAACUGCCUGCGGUAUCCGUCGCCUCGAUACUGCGAUGAUACAAAAUUACAACGGCUCCUAGAGCUAAAUUAGGUAGUUUAGACAGGUGACAGGUCCAAAACACUGGUUUUCUCUUAAGUCAAAUUCCAAGUCCAACAUGUAUAUUUAUGGUUUGCCAUUCAUAUCCUCAAUGUUGAUUUCAUUCAUGAUACAAUCAACAAAAUGAACUUCAACAUGAUUUAUAAAAUUGAAAAUCAUACAUGUCGACUAAUACUGUGCUUAGAAAUAAACCGAUGUAACCCACCUCAAAAGCUAAACCCUGGCAGUGAAGAAGGUCACCGGAGUCCCUACCAAGCUCGGUGCAACCCAACGAACCAGCGAUAACAACACUCCACGGAUCUAGACAUAGAAACCCAUAAUAAGCAUCAAUUCUGCCCAAAACAAUAGUAGAAGAGUGGAACAGGGUUUCGACCAAGCUAACCUUCACCAAAAUCGACAAUCUUGGGCUUCGUGGAUUCCUCUCGAAGUUCUGAAUACAACGAACCAAGUCUCGCUACAAUUCGACGCUCCUACGUCGCGUACGAGCCGAAACGCCAACGGUCGACGCAGGAAAUCUGCAAAACAGCAUCCUUGAGCUCGGAAAUGAUGAAGACUUGCCAUGGUUGGAGGAAUUGAUGAACAUCUCACCUCAACAGCGACUCUAGCACCGGCGCGACGUCGAGAACGACGAAAACGCACCCUCGUCCGACCUCCUCGCGAUGCUACGGCAACAAACGCGUGCUCGAACGGCUCCGCGGCACGACGUCGGUGACGAAAUACUCUACCCGAGCUCCUCCACGAUCGGUCGAGUA
rnacentral:lncRNA from 1 species